UUUUAAUAAUAUUAUUAUUAUUUUAAAUUUUAAAAAAAUUACUUAAAUUGAACUACAUGAAACAACACCAAAUCAAAAUCAAUUUUCAUCUCUUCUAUUUUCAGUUCUUUCUUAAUUCAAACCUACUCAAAAUUAAAUCCUCCAACACCUGUAGAUUUGUACAAAAAAACCCAUUGAUUUCUCUUCAUCCCACUUUACCCAAUUUUUUUUAGAUUCUUGUAGUUGUAUGAUUCUUGAUUGGGUUUAGCUUCUUGUUUCCAUUGUCUGAAAUGAAGAAGAGGGAAAAAGGGUUUAUCAUGGUGGAACUACAAUUGUGUGGGUGGUAUCGGAAAGUGAAAGGGAAAUCGAAAUCUAACCCUACUCCCUCCGCUUCAGAUCAAAGAACACCCACAUAAUGGCGGUGUACGGUGGUGAUGGCUAUGUGCGUGGUUGAGGAACUUGUGGUGUCCGAUUUCACGGUGUUGUUGUGUGGUUGUGCGGCAAUCCGAUUUUGUGAUGGUGUUGUGCAACUGCGCGGUGGCCCGGUUUUACGGUGGUGUUGUGUCGCCGCUGAGAUGUGAUUGAAUUGAUGAGGAGGAAGAGAGUAAUAAUGAUGGAGCUGCCAUUAUAUAAAUACUAUGUGUUUUCUUUGUAGCAACAUAUGAUAGAAAGAAUGUACUCCCCUUUCCUCCUUCACAUUCCACUUUGUGAAAAAAUCAAGGGAUUGAAGAUUUGAUUUAUGAAGAUUUGUGUAAAAAUUUUGGAAAAAUAAAGGGAUGUGUUGGAAAUCCACCAUAACCUAUGGAGAAUUUCUAUCAAUCUUAUUGAACAAGAUUGUUAUCACCCACACAAUGACAAUGAAAAGAAAAGAACGAUUGAGAAAGAAAAAAAACGUUGGAGAAUAAUAAUAUUUCUACAGA